GACGAACGCUGGCGGCGUGCCUAAUACAUGCAAGUCGAGCGAAUCGAUGGGAGCUUGCUCCCUGAGAUUAGCGGCGGACGGGUGAGUAACACGUGGGUAACCUGCCUGUAAGACUGGGAUAACUUCGGGAAACCGGAGCUAAUACCGGAUACUUUCUUUUCUCGCAUGAGGGAAGAUGGAAAGAUGGUUCUGCUAUCACUUACAGAUGGACCCGCGGCGCAUUAGCUAGUUGGUGAGGUAACGGCUCACCAAGGCAACGAUGCGUAGCCGACCUGAGAGGGUGAUCGGCCACACUGGUACUGGGAGACGGCCCAGACUCCUACGGGAGGCAGCAGUAGGGAAUCUUCCGCAAUGGACGAAAGUCUGACGGAGCGACACCGCGUGGAGGACGAAGGCCUUCGGGUUGUAAACUCCUUUUCCAGGGGAAGAAUAAGGGUAAGAGGAAAUGCUUAUCCGAUGACGGUGCUCUGGGAAUAAGCCACGGCUAACUCUGUGCCAGCAGCCGCAGUAAAAC
rnacentral:rRNA from 1 species